GGGCCUACGGGGCGCAGCAGUGGGGAAUAUUGGGCAAUGGGCGCAAGCCUGACCCAGCAACGCCGCGUGAAGGAAGAAGGCUUUCGGGUUGUAAACUUCUUUUGUCAGGGACGAAGCAAGUGACGGUACCUGACGAAUAAGCCACGGCUAACUACGUGCCAGCAGCCGCGGUAAUACGUAGGUGGCAAGCGUUAUCCGGAUUUAUUGGGUGUAAAGGGCGUGUAGGCGGGAAUGCAAGUCUGGAGUGAAAGGCGGGGGCCCAACCCCCGGACUGCUCUGGAAA
rnacentral:rRNA from 1 species